GAACCUGGUCCAUAUUGUCUGACAUUCUGGUAUUGUACGUACGGACUUCAUAUAAACAAACUAAAUGUGUAUACACAGACAGAUGCUUGUGCGAAUACACUUCUGUUUUCCAAAGAAAAUGAUACGAAAAGUAUGGACUGGAGAAACUCUGAAAUAAGCUUUCAGUCUGCUUUUGAAUAUCAGAUCAUUAUUGAGGGCGUUUCCGGAAAUGGCUACCAAGGUGACAUUGCAAUCGAUGAUGUUUUAUUGAAAGCUGAAUUGUGCCAUACCGAAACAACGGCAAAGACAGGGGAAGCAAGAUUAUCUACAAUAUUUUAUUCAACUACCAGUCCAACGAAUGAAACAACGAUUGGAACAAACAAAACUAUAACUACGUUUGUAAUGCCUACGGCAUUGCCAGGAGGAAACCUAUCAUCAACGCUAACACGUAAAAUAAGUUCACCAACAAUAAGACACAGUUCAACUAGAAAGUCAACGAGUGAGACAGGACACUUAAAUAAUGCAACAUUGACUGACGUUUCAAACUUCACACAACGUUGGAAUACAAACACCGGUUCAACUGUUGAGUAAAUAACUAAGGCAGGACACUCAGAUACAACGACCAAAAUUUUAAACACAACACUGCUAUCGAAUUCAAACUCGAGUUCAACUGUUAAGCCAGUUACUUAGGUGGAGCAUUCCGAUACAACGAUCGAAAUUUUAUAAACAACACUGAAAUGGAAUUUCAAUUCGAGUUCAGCUGUUAAGCCAAUAAAUAAGACAGAACACUCCAAUACAACCAAUAAGAUAAACACCACACACGUAUGGAAUACAGACACUGGUUAAUCAACUGCUAACUUAGUAAAUGAGAUGGAAUACUACGGUUCAACGACCGGUACUUCGAACACUGUAGAGCGUCUUAAUACAAACUCGAGUCCGACUGUAAAGCUAGUAACUGAAACGGAACACUUCGAUACUACGAGAGAUAUUUAUUUGAACACCACACAAUUAUCGAACACAAAAUCAGAUGCAACUGUAACAUAAAAAAUCUCUGAUAUAACG
rnacentral:lncRNA from 1 species